rnacentral:rRNA from 1 species
GACGAACGCUGGCGGCGUGCUUAACACAUGCAAGUCGAGCGGUAAGGCCCUUCGGGGUACACGAGCGGCGAACGGGUGAGUAACACGUGGGUGACCUGCCUCUAGCUCUGGGAUAAGCCCGGGAAACUGGGUCUAAUACCGGAUAUGACUCCACGGCGCAUGUUGUGGGUGGAAAGCCUUGUGUGGCUAGAGAUGGGCCCGCGGCCUAUCAGCUUGUUGGUGGGGUGAUGGCCUACCAAGGCGACGACGGGUAGCCGGCCUGAGAGGGCGACCGGCCACACUGGGACUGAGACACGGCCCAGACUCCUACGGGAGGCAGCAGUGGGGAAUCUUGGACAAUGGGCGCAAGCCUGAUCCAGCCAUGCCGCGUGAGUGAUGAAGGCCUUAGGGUUGUAAAGCUCUUUUGCCGGGGACGAUAAUGACGGUACCCGGAGAAUAAGUCCCGGCUAACUUCGUGCCAGCAGCCGCCGUAAC